UACGUAGGGGGCAAGCGUUGUCCGGAAUCAUUGGGCGUAAAGCGCGUGUAGGCGGCUAGGUAAGUCUGCUCUGAAAGCCCGGGGCUCAACCCCGGGAGGCGGGUGGAUACUGUCUAGCUCGAGUCCGGAAGAGGAGUGUGGAAUUCCUGGUGUGGCGGUGAAAUGCGCAGAUAUCAGGAGGAACACCAAUGGCGAAGGCAGCACUCUGGGACGUGACUGACGCUGAGACGCGAAAGCGUGGGGAGCAAACAGG
rnacentral:rRNA from 1 species